rnacentral:lncRNA from 1 species
AAAUUUUAAAUUGGUUUAUUCUAUAAUAAAUCCCUCAAAAUUCUCCUUAAUUUUUUUUUCUCCAUCAAUCUUUUCUCUCUUAAUCAAAAUUUCUUUAGGUAUCCCAAUUAUCCACUUUAAUUUUUAUUUUAAUAAUAAAUUAAAAUAUAUUUGGAUUAUUCGUCAUUUUAUUUUUUAUUCCAAUACAGUUUUUUUAUUUUUAUUCUAAUCAUGAACCAAACAUAUUCUAA